CUGCAGUGGAUGCUGGUGGGAUAGAGUGUUGUAGAGGGUAAUGGAAUUCUUGCUGUAGCAGUGAAAAAGUAGAGAUCAUGAGGAGCAUUCAUGGCGAAGACAGCUUCCUUCUGCAACAAUGACACUGAGGCNCUAAAGCGUGGGGAGCAACCAGCAUUAGAUACCCUGGUAGUCCUCCACCUAAUAGAUGCGAUCUGGAAGUUGGGUGCAAUUUGGCACGCAGUAUGGAACCUAACGCGUUAAGUUUACCCCCUGGGGAGUACAGUCUCAAAACUGAAACUCAAAGGAAUUGACGGGGGGCCCCACAAACGGUGGAGUAUGUGGUUUAAUUUGAUGCAACGCGAAGAACCUUUCCUGGCCUUGACAUGUCGAAAACUUUUCAGAGAUGGAUGGGUNCCUUUGGGAACUCGAACACACGUGCUGCAUGGCUGUCGUCAGCUCUUGUCGUGAGAUGUUGGGUUAAGUCUCCCACCGAGCGCAACCCUUUUCUCUAGUUGCCACCACGUAAUGGUGGGAACUUUAAGGAGUCCUCCCGUGACAAACCGGAGGAAGGUGGGGAUGACCUCAAGUCAUCAUGGCCCUUUCGGCCAGGGCUUCCCCCGUACUACAAUGGUAGGGACAAAGGGCUGCAAGCCGGCGACGGUAAGCCAAUUCCAAAAACCCUAUUUCAGUCCCGAUUGGAGUUUGCAACUCGACUCCAUGAAGUCGGAAUCGCUAGUAAUCGCAG
rnacentral:rRNA from 1 species